rnacentral:rRNA from 1 species
UACAGAGGGUGCGAGCGUUAAUCGGAAUUACUGGGCGUAAAGCGCACGUAGGUGGCGACGUAAGUCGGGUGUGAAAGCCCCGGGCUCAACCUGGGAAUUGCAUUGGAUACUGGCGGGCUAGAGUGCGGUAGAGGGUAGUGGAAUUCCCGGUGUAGCAGUGAAAUGCGUAGAGAUCGGGAGGAACAUCUGUGGCGAAGGCGACUGCCUGGACCAGCACUGACACUGAGGCACGAAAGCGUGGGGAGCAAACAGG